UCCCUGGUGGUCCAGUGGCUAAGACUCUGCACCCCCAAUGCAGGGGGCCAGGUUCCAUUCCCGGUCAGGGAG
rnacentral:tRNA from 1 species